rnacentral:rRNA from 1 species
GCCCUAGUAACGGCGAGUGAAGCGGCAACAGCUCAAAUUUGAAAUCUGGCCCCAGGCCCGAGUUGUAAUUUGUAGAGGAUGUUUCUGGUGCGGUGCCUUCCGAGUUCCCUGGAACGGGACGCCAUAGAGGGUGAGAGCCCCGUCCGGUCGUGCGCUAAGCCUAUGUGAAACUCCUUCGACGAGUCGAGUAGUUUGGGAAUGCUGCUCUAAAUGGGAGGUAUACGUCUUCUAAAGCUAAAUACCGGCCAGAGACCGAUAGCGCACAAGUAGAGUGAUCGAAAGAUGAAAAGCACUUUGAAAAGAGGGUUAAAUAGUACGUGAAAUUGCUGAAAGGGAAGCGCUUAUGACCAGACUUGGGCUCGGUGAAUCAUCCGGCGUUCUCGCCGGUGCACUUUGCCGGUCCAGGCCAGCAUCAGUUCUCGUCGGGGGAUAAAGGCGCCGGGAAUGUGGCUCCCUCGGGAGUGUUAUAGCCCGGCGUGUAAUACCCUGAUGGGGACUGAGGUACGCGCUCCGCAAGGAUGCUGGCGUAAUGGUCAUCAGCGACCCGUCUUGAAACACGGACCAAGGAGUCGUCUUCGUAUGCGAGUGUUCGGGUGUCAAACCCCUACGCGUAAUGAAAGUGAACGUAGGAGAGAGCUUCGGCGCAUCUCCGACCGAUCCUGAUGUUCUCGGAUGGAUUUGAGUAAGAGCAUACGGGGCCGGACCCGAAAGAAGGUGAACUAUGCCUGUAUAGGGUGAAGCCAGAGGAAACUCUGGUGGAGGCUCGCAGCGGUUCUGACGUGCAAAUCGAUCGUCAAAUAUGGGCAUGGGGGCGAAAGACUAAUCGAACCUUCUAGUAGCUGGUUUCCGCCGAAGUUUCCCUCAGGAUAGCAGUGUUGAGCUCAGUUUUAUGAGGUAAAGCGAAUGAUUAGGGACUCGGGGGCGCUUAUUAGCCUUCAUCCAUUCUCAAACUUUAAAUAUGUAAGAAGCUCUUGUUACUUAAUUGAACGUGAGCAUUCGAAUGUAUCAACACUAGUGGGCCAUUUUUGGUAAGCAGAACUGGCGAUGCGGGAUGAACCGAACGCGAGGUUAAGGUGCCAGAGUAGACGCUCAUCAGACACCACAAAAGGUGUUAGUACAUCUUGACAGCAGGACGGUGGCCAUGGAAGUCGGAAUCCGCUAAGGACUGUGUAACAACUCACCUGCCGAAUGUACUAGCCCUGAAAAUGGAUGGCGCUCAAGCGUCUCACCCAUACCUCGCCCUCAGGGUAGAAACGAUGCCCUGAGGAGUAGGCGGACGUGGAGGUCAGUGACGAAGCC